UACGGAGGGUGCAAGCGUUAUCCGGAUUCACUGGGUUUAAAGGGUGCGUAGGCGGGUAUAUAAGUCAGUGGUGAAAGCUCCGGGCUUAACUUGGAAACUGCCAUUGAUACUGUAUAUCUUGAAUGUCGUUGAGGUAAGCGGAAUGUUGCAUGUAGCGGUGAAAUGCUUAGAUAUGUUACAGAACACCAAUUGCGAAGGCAGCUUACUAAGCGAUAAUUGACGCUGAGGCACGAAAGCGUGGGGAGCAAACAGG
rnacentral:rRNA from 1 species